rnacentral:lncRNA from 1 species
UUUGUUGUCUCAUUUCACAACAAUUGGUUGGCAAUUGUGUUCCAGAGAAGAAAAAUGAGACUUGUAGAGGAUGGUGGUGGUUCUUUUUCCCAGGAAAUGAGGUAAAUCAGAGAGCAGGUGUCUCAUGUCCCAGUCCUGUGCUCAGGCUGGUUCCAAGGUAAAUCACACCCCAGGCUCUGCAAAUGGGAACUAUAGAGGCAAGGAAGCAGUGGGGAAUACAGUGGGGGAAAGAACCCAGCUGGCUUCAGGAGAUAAACGUUUAUGGAUUUCUGCAGUUUUAUCAACUUGCUGGCCGCAAGGGAAAAGGAGAUGCUUAUCAAGCACCUAUUUAUGCACCUGGUGAUUUUUAUGUAUUAUCUAUGAUCUUAUUUAUUUCCUCUAAAAAUUUUAUGAAGAAUAUAUAAUUAUCCCCUUUCAUAGUUGAGGACCCUGGGAUUUUAAAAGGGUAAGAGGCUUCCUCGAAGUCAUACAGUAAAUUAGCUGCAGAUGAGAGAGGACAGAGUCUUCAAACUCUACUGUGCUGUUUCUUAGGGCUUGAGCAUUUUUGCUUGUCAAGAUGCAGGGGUUAGCCUCUAUCAGAUAUUGCAGACCUUCAGUGCGUGUGUAAAUAUUUCCGGUUUGGCCCCGUGAUGUUUCAAACAUUUAAAAUUAUUGGUUAACCUUUCGACAGUCCAAGACUACUUGUAACAUCAGAUUUCCAUCUUCUCUUAAAAGACUGGAGGACUCAAAACUUCAGGAGCUGAGUAAUGGUGACCCCUUCAGUAGCAUGGGUUGUCUGUGGGUAGCCGCAUGUCUCCAUGCCUAGGCUGGUUCAUUCAUUUAUGCUGCUUCCCUGGCCCUUCCAUCAUCUGAAUUGACAGGAAAGGGAAUAAAGGAUAAGAUGCUGUAUUGAUGGGGCUGGGAGGUGGGAGGGGGCUCAGUUUCUCCCUGAGGGACAGAAAUUGUGAGGCCUGAGUUUGGAGGCAGCCAGGCUAUGAGUCAUGGAGGCUGCUGGCUAAUUGCCCUUCUUUGCAUUACAUGAGAGAAUUUGAAAUCUGGGGUCUGUUCUUAGUCCAAGAGAUAAACCUUUACCAAUCUCAAAAAUGAUAUUAAAAACUCUUUUUUGAUGAUCUCACUCAUAUAAGACCUUAUGCUCUAAAUAAAGCUCUUUCACAUGCCAUGUAACUUGCAGAUCAUCUAGGAGGGAGAUGGAGCAGUCAGUGUUGUCCCUGUCACUCAGUUGAGGAAAUGGGGGGCUGUGGAGAUGGGGAUGGCACCACAUUAAGUUACAAGAUGAGUGCAAAGCAGAAUCAUGAACCAACUGUCCCGAUUUCCAUCCUAGUACCAAUUCCAUUAGCUAUGCCUCAUCUGGGCAGGUUGACAUGCUAGCUGUCUCAGUCAUCCAUGAUCCUUCCAAUGGGAUUGCUUUUCAAGAUGCCACUGCCAUAUUCUUUUUCCUAGAAUUCUCAGGACUGAGUUUUAAGUUGGAUAUAUAUACAUAUAUAUAUAUAUAUAUAUAUAUAUAUAUAUAUAUAUACCCAAAUGCCCCUGUCUCUAUAGAGAGAGGGAAAAGGGGAAGAAAGAUCAUCUCAGUCAUUUCCUUAAAAAUAAUCCAAGUCACCAUUUGAGAGGCUGGUGUCACUUGACCCCUCAUUAUUUGGUGAGUCUGGGCAGGUGGCACAAGUUGAUGUUGUCUUCCAAUGGACACAGCUGUUGCUAGAUCUUUUUGGCAAUUUUAAAGUAGAGUUCUGGCCCCAUGAGGAGGCCAUGUGUUCUCCUCCUCCCUCUGUGCUGUUGUUUUUAGAUGGAGGAACAAAAAUAACCAUUGAGGAAUACCAUGAAAGCUGCCAGAGAGGCUGUUGUGCUCUUCUCCAAGAAUCUGUUUCAAAAUGUUUAAUGUUUCUUAAGUGAAAAGUAUUUGGGAAUCGGGGCUGCCAGAGUGUUCAUCAGUAAUGUCCUCCCCAGUAUUACUGCAAAACAGAUGGCAAGUUAAGUUUCCUGAUGAGUGUAUGAGACAUUCCAGGUGCUUGGGCUGGUUCAAAGGAAAGCCCUCCCCAAGACAAAAAUGUAAAUAUACAACCACCUACAUAUUUAGAGACCACCAGGACUGGAAAGGUAUCCUUAAUCCCCAAAAUGUUUCCUUUCUCAACUUAGUUAUCAAUUAAAUGCUUUCAAUCAUUGAUACAGCAUUUUAUCGUGGUUUGAGAUAGUAUAAAUUGUAAAUAAAAUGCAAAAAGGAAAUACAGUUGACCUGGUAUAUGCAAUAUUGCACACAUCAUUCCAUGCAAUCCCACCCCAGGGGCAGAACUUGACAGGGGAUAUAAGUUGAAUUAGGAGGGGUGCUAUAAGGAAAGUCAGAGUUAGGGACAACAUGCAUGGCAUUACAGAGAUAAGAGGUAGAGAGAAUGCUAUUGGAGCCAAUGGCAAAAUUUUCCUAUGGUAUAAUUAAAUUUUAAAAUAUUGCAGUUCUAUUACACAUAGCUAAAAAAAAUUAGGGUACUAGAAAGCUUUUAUUGAAAAAUAGCAGGCUAUUUUUCCCUAUCUUUUCUAUCCACCAGUCCUACUUCUUGGAAGUAACCAAUUUCCAUUUUUUUUCUCACAUUUAUUUCUAUAUCUCUUUUUUAAAAGAUGUUAUUUAUUUGAGAGAGAGACAGAUAGAGAGAGAGAGAGAGCACAAGCUGGGGGAGGGGCAGAGAGAGAGAGGGAGACAGAAUCCCAAGCAGACUCUGUGCUAAGUGUGGAGCCCCAUAGGGGGAGAUCGUAGGACCCUGCGAACAUGACCUGAGCCAAAAUCAAGAGUUGGACUUUAACUUAUUGAGCCACCCAGGCACCUCUCUCUAUUUCUAAAUAAUGGGUUUAUGCUGCUCUUACUCGAUAUAUCAGUUUUAGACAAUUCUUAUGGUUAUAAGAAUUUUACCACUUCAAGGGGAACCUGGGUGGCUCAGUAGUUGAGCGUCUGCCUUUGGCUCAGGGCGUGAUCCCAGGGUUCUGGGAUCAAGUCCCACAUCGGGCUCCCUGCAGGGAGCCUGCUUCUCCCUCUGCCUGUGUUUCUGCCUCUCUCUGUGUCUCUCAUGAAUAAAUAAAUAAAAUCUUUUUUUAAAAAAAGAAUUU